UACGAAGGGGGCUAGCGUUGUUCGGAUUUACUGGGCGUAAAGCGCACGUAGGCGGAUCGUUAAGUCAGGGGUGAAAUCCUGGAGCUCAACUCCAGAACUGCCUUUGAUACUGGCGAUCUUGAGUCCGGAAGAGGUGAGUGGAACUCCUAGUGUAGAGGUGGAAUUCGUAGAUAUUAGGAAGAACACCAGUGGCGAAGGCGGCUCACUGGUCCGGUACUGACGCUGAGGUGCGAAAGCGUGGGGAGCAACAGGG
rnacentral:rRNA from 1 species